rfam:Trypanosoma vivax Y486, WGS project CAEX01000000 data, contig: 6806
GCAUCUUGCCCUGUCUGGCCGUGCGUCGGUGACCCCAAUGACGUGCGUGCCCGAAAGCGCAAGAGAGA